AUCUUUGCGCUUGGGGCAAUGACGCAGCUAAUGAGGUUCUAACCGAGGCGCGUCUAUUGCUGGUUGAAAACUAUUUCCAAACCCCCUCCUAGGCCUAAGCUUGUCUUAGGCCUUCGAGAAUUUCUGGAAGGGCUCCCUUUGGGGUAAAGCC
rnacentral:snRNA from 14 species